GGGGGGGGUGGUAAACUCCACGGUCAUUGCCGGAGACCGUUCCCAAGCGCUGCAGCCCCCGAGCAGCUGCUGAAAUGCCUCAGCCUCCCACGUCUCGGCCUGGCCGGCUGCCGCCGCAGGCGCAUUCCUGGCAGGUCCAGGAGUCAAGAAAAAUCCGCCAGAACAAGCCGUGCCUCGCUGCUCUCGGGUUACCAGCAGGUGGAAGGUGGGGCCGCCUCUGAUCGAAAUGGCUUUGACAGACGGCCGGCCGGAGUUCAAGGAUGUUUCCCGCUCGGCAGGCGGGGCUGCGGGGCUUCCCAGGACCCGGGUCCCUCCCGGCGGAGAGGAGCUCUCCUUUCCACAAACCCGGUGCUCCUUCUCCUCUCCGAGCUCUCGCCCAGCCCGCUGCCCUGCACGGCGAAAGAGAGCGUCCUGCCGGUCCCCCUCCUUUCCUCUGCGCUGAAAAUAGUUCCAAGGGAAGCCAGAGGUCACGGGGAUGGCCCUUCCGGCCUAAAGCUGCCCGAGGCCUUGUGAUCGUGUUCGCAUCUUCUCAAAAACGUACUGUCGGCCAGGACACCGGUGGGCUUUGCUUUCCAUUUUUACCUGGAAACUAUGGAAUUGAGUGUGAAUACUGAAUUCCGAGGGCCACUUGCCUCUGGGAACGAGCUGGGGUAUGGUCUUCACGCCGCAUCCGGUCCCGUGCAGGACAAUGCUGUUUAAAGGCUUGAUGAUACUGACGCUGAUUUACAGACUCAAUAGCAGGAAGAAUGUCACUAAACGACGACGACGGUGAUCAGCAGCUUCCCCCUCAGUCUGCUUGACUCAAAGCGCCAGCUCCCCCUGUGUCUUUAGACAGUUUAGGGACUGGGUUCACAGGAGUUCUAAACUGGGCAAGCCAUGGCUGGCGCAAAAGCAAUUCUUACUCCUCUCGAUUUUUUUUAAAAAAAUCAUCCUUGUGGUUUCUACUGUUCACCUUUCUACUUCCCUGAAACGCAUAAGCUCGUGUGCGCACCAAAGGCCUCUGAGCGCCCGCGGCUGCUGUUCACGCCUGCGGUUCCUGCUGGGCCCCUGCGCCUCUCUGUCCGCGGCUGCCUCCUGGGCUCUGCUCGGGAGGGCUGCACACCCCAGCACCCCCGCAAACGCGGCGUGGGAGUGGGGGAGGCUCCCCGGAGGCUUGUUCCACACCGUUUCCCGCGGACCCCGGUAGGAUUAGCCCAGCCCGCAGCGGCAUCCCGGGUCACGGGCGCACGAGGAUCAGCUUGCCUCCCUUCCCUGUUCCAUUUCCUGCUAAGAUUACUGCCAGGACACGUCACGAGCCUCGAGUCUUCGUCACAGUGGGCUCCCGGGGGGAUGCACACUGAGACAGCGAGCCCAGCCGCCGGCAGGCAGGAGAAGCUGAGCGGGGUGGAACCGAGAAGGGCCCCAGAGCCACGAACACCUGCACAGCCUCGCCUGACCCGCGCUCUGCCUCUGGCUCCCGCGUCCCCCUGGCCUCCCUCCCCUCUGCUUCUGGAAGAAGCGUCUCAGCACCAUCUUCUUGUGCCUGGGGGUGUGCCUCUCCGACUCUCCCCACUGCCUACCCAAACCAGCCUCCUCACCUUCUCUGGAAGGCCGGCCGCUGGGAGCACCCUUCCUGGAACAGCGGCGCAUGUGCAGAAGCACAGCUACAGUGAACAUUCCUGGGCAAGUGUGCUUGUGUGACAAUCUGCAAGAGUCCCUCAGGAAGGAUCUGCGUUUAGAGCCGGAAUGCUGAGACACAGACAGCUUUAGAUGUAAGAUUCAUGCACUAAAAUACCUCAAGGAAAAGCUAAAACGAAGAUUCAGGAAGUCUCUGUGCGCCGGGGUGAAGCUUUCCACACUGUGGAAGUCACCAUCCUCUCGGGAAGACCCAAAUUCCAGCAACCAGAGGGAUUGGGACCAAGGAGAACUUUUCUGUUUUUUGUAACUUUUUGGACUGUGGCAGACGCAGUGCUGUAUGUUCACUAACCACUUCACUCUCGUUCUGGGCACACAAGAAGACCACGUUCCAGGCCUCCCUCUCGGGCCGGUCAUGUGACCCGUCCUGGCCAUUGGAAUAUGGGCAGCAGCGUGCGUGCCACUUGUAAGCCUGGCCCUGGCUGGCUGCAGGGGAUCUAGCAGAUGAUUCCAAGAUCCCAAAGGACUCCAUGGUCUCAGAAAACAGUGGAGCUGUGAGAGGAAAGAGGCUAGAACCCUAGCUGCUGCUAGAGGAGCAACCCAACCAGCAGGAUUGUGACGUAAAUGAGAAAUAAAUCUUUUACUGUUUGUUUGUCAGUUAAGCUACAGAGAUUUGGGGUUGUUUGAAUAAUAGUCAUUUUAAUGAUCUUAACAAAUACAUGUACUUGCCAUUUUUUAAAAAAAAUAAAACAAUUCAAACAAAACAAAGCAAUGUUAAUUUUUUGGCUCAAGAAUUCCAAAUUUAGUCAGUGAUUUUUUUUUUCUUAGCUCUCUUGAAAUUCUAUGAACCCCACUCAAGGCACUAAUACCUACAGCAGCAGUUGCAAUAACAAUCAUAACUCACUCACUUUAGGUGUAGAGCUUCCGGCAUUUUGGUAAUCGUACACAGUCAUGUAACCACAAUCCAGGUCUACAACAUGUUCAUCACCCUCCAGUUUCCUGUGCCCUUUUGCGGGGAUCGCCACCCCAGGACCCGACCUCAGCAACCACCAGCCUGCCACGCCGUGUUCUGCCUCUCCCAGAGUUUCACACGGAUGGAAUCACGCAGCGCCUAACCUUUUGUGUUGACUUCUUUUGCUUUACCUAAUUUUUUGAGAUUCAUCCACGUUGUUGCAUAUAUUAAUAUUUUGACCCCCUUAAUUGCUGAGUCCCCCUUCUUGUCAGUAAUGGUGUUCCCUAAGUUCUAGUUGGGUGCCCACUGC
ensembl:lncRNA